UAUAAUAAUUCUAUAUUUAUAUUUUAUGUAAUUUAUCAUUAUUGUUAACUUUCAAACUAAUUUCGCCUUACUAUAGGACGAUGUGAAAAGGUUGUAAAUCGAGGUAUAAAUAUGCAAUGAAACUUAAAAUUAAUUUAUAUGUUUUGAAAAUGUGAAUGUGAUAUGUGUAAAUCUAAUUUACUCAUAACAAUAUCGAAAGUCUCUAUAUGUUGGUACAAGUAGACCCAGAUUAAGGAUCGAUUGAGGCCCAGGACACCAUAAAUUUAGUGGACCCCUUUUCAACUUUAACUUAAAAAUCAUUGUAUCACUACAUUUUAAAAACUGUAUAUUAUCAUUACUAAAUAUAAUGUAAUUAAUGAUGUUAAAUUUUUCUUAGUUUGACUUGUUUUAUGUUUAUUUUUUAUUCUUGUUAAUUUAGGAAAUGCUCUUUCAGCCGAACAAUUCAUUUUUAUUUUUAUUAUAAUUGGGCACCUCAUGCGAAUAGAUUAAGAAUACCUAUUAUUAAUUAUUACCAUGGGCAUAGCGAGGGUGGGGCAGGGGCGCACUUGCCCACCCCUGCGCCUCAAAUUGAAUUAAAACAAUUUUUUUUUUUAAUUUGUAAUAAUUAAGUUUUACAUGAAAAUUGAAAAAUUAAAUGCGAUAUAAGAACAUUCAAGUCUAAAAAUAGUUUAGUGGGACCAAGUGUAAUCUACACGUAUAAUCAUUUUAUAUUUUAUCGAUUGGUCUAUGUGUAGAUUAUUUGAAUUAAGAGUUUUAACGCUAAUCGUUUUGUACUUUAUACAUUAAUAUCAACUUUUACUCAAACUGACAGCGAUAAUGUCGAUAUUAUAGAAUUUUAUUACAAUCACUUUUUCAAAACGCAUACUGCUAAUAAUAUAGUGCAACAGUGCAUGCUAUUCUGUGUUAGCGUAAACCCUAGGUUAGGUUAGGUUAUAAACGAAUAACGUUUAAAUUUUAUAUUAUAUUGUACACGAUGGACAAACGGAAGUUUUUUGGUGGUCUCUUCAUACUUAGCGUGCAUAGAAAGCUGAUAUAUGAAAAGAAGGAAGAGCUACAACAGACAAUUCUAAGUAGAUUUUGUGAAGAUCCUAGACAAUUGUCAUUAAUAUAAUUAUACGUACAAAAUUGUUUUUUUUUUAUUUAUUUUAUUACCU